rnacentral:rRNA from 1 species
AGCUCCAAUAGCGUAUAUUAAAGUUGUUGCAGUUAAAAAGCUCGUAGUUGGAUUUUGGGUUUGGUUUUAGUUCGGUUUACUUAUUGUAAUACUGUCUAGGCCGCCCUUCUUCUCGAGGCCUCUGGGUGCACUUAACCGUGUGUUCAGAGUGUUCGGGACUUUUACCGUGAGAAAAUUAGAGUGUUCAAAGCAGGCUUUUGCUUGAAUAUUGCAGCAUGGAAUAAUGGAAUAGGAUCAUGAUCUUAUUUUGUUGGUUUCUAAGAUCAAGAUAAUGAUUAAUAGGGAUAGUUGGGGGCAUUAAUAUUUAGUUGUCAGAGGUGAAAUUCUUAGAUUUACAAAAGAUUAACUUCUGCGAAAGCAUUUGCCAAGGAUGUUUUCGUUAAUCAAGAACGAAAGUACG